UACGUAGGUGGCAAGCGUUGUCCGGAAUUAUUGGGCGUAAAGCGCACGUAGGCGGCUUUGCAAGUCGGGUGUGAAAGCCCCCGGCUCAACUGGGGAGGGUCACGCGAUACUGAUCGACUCGAAGGCAGGAGAGGGUAGUGGAAUUCCCGGUGUAGUGGUGAAAUGCGUAGAUAUCGGGAGGAACACCAGUGGCGAAGGCGACUACCUGGCCUGUUCUUGACGCUGAGGCGCGAAAGCUAGGGGAGCAAACGGG
rnacentral:rRNA from 1 species